rnacentral:rRNA from 1 species
AGCAGUCGCCGCGGUAAUACGGAGGGUGCUAGCGUUGUUCGGAAUCACUGGGCGUAAAGGGCGCGUAGGCGGCCUGUUAAGUCGGAUGUGAAAGCCCGGGGCUCAACCCCGGAACUGCAUCCGAGACUGGCAGGCUUGAGACCGGGAGAGGAGGGUGGAAUAUCCAGUGUAGAGGUGGAAUUCGUAGAUAUUGGAUGGAACACCGGUGGCGAAAGCGGCCCCCUGGACAAAGACUGACGCUCAGGUGCGAAAGCGUGGGGAGCAAACAGGAUUAGAUACCCCAGUAGUCCCUGUCUCUUAUAC